CUGGACAGUAAAGUGGCAGAAACACUUUAUCCGGGGUUCUUGUUAUGGGGCAGAAACCUCACUCUGGAACUGGGCUUAGAGCACAGCACGGCUUGUGGGAACUGCUGGCCCAGAGGCAGGAUUCUUUCUGAAGGCAGGCCAAGGCUGGGGACAGCAGCUAGGAAGGCGGAGGCUUGGGAGUCUGUCAGUUCUCCCCUGGAUUUUACAAGAAUGAGCACUCAUGGGCCAAGGAACAGCUCCAGAAGCCCAAUGGAAACUUGAGCGAGUGGAGAAUGAAUCUGUCAGGAGUUCAGUGAGCAAAAUCAGAAAGGCAACCUGAAUGACCCCAGGACAGCGCACAAAGCAAGAGGGAAGCCGGUUGUGCCACACCCACGCGUGUAGCGGUGGGGCGUUCAGACUCGCCAGGCCCAGCACCUGCCAGGCCAGGAUUCACCCACGGAGGGUCUCUGGGGUCCAGGGUCUACACGACUGGAUCCGCAGGUUUACGGUCUACAGGGCGAGGGUCCUGCGGAGGGACCCGCGGGGUCGGAGUCUGGGUCAGGGCCUGCGCAGGGGGCUCGUGUGCCGGAGGGAGGGACGCGCGGGUCCUCGGGAUGCGGCUCCGCACCGCAGGGUCGCGGGGAGAGGGUCUGCGAGGCCCCGGGCUGGU